rnacentral:tRNA from 1 species
GACCCUUUCGUCUAGGGGCCAAGGACGCUGCCACUUCAUGGUAGAGACGGAGGUUCAAAUCCUUCAAGGGUCGCCA